UGCAGUCGACGGGCUCUUCGGAGCAAGUGGCGGACGGGUGAGUAACACGUAAGAAUUUGCCUUUAGGAGGGGGACAACAACUGGAAACGGUUGCUAAUACCCCAUAUGCUUUCGAGUGAAACGGUUUUUCCGCCUAAAGAGAAGCUUGCGGCUGAUUAGCUUGUUGGUAAGGUAAUGGCUUACCAAGGCGACGAUCAGUAUCUGGUUUGAGAGGACGAUCAGACACACUGGAGCUGAGACACGGUCCAGACUCCUACGGGAGGCAGCAGUGGGGAAUUUUCCGCAAUGGGCGAAAGCCUGACGGAGCAAUACCGCGUGAGGGAUGAAUGCCUAUGGGUUGUAAACCUCUUUUUUCAGGGAGGAAUCAAUGACGUUACCUGAAGAAUAAGCAUCGGCUAACUCCGUGCCAGCAGCCGCGGUAAUACG
rnacentral:rRNA from 1 species